UCCCUGGUGGCUCAGACGGUAAAGCGUCUGCCUACAAUGCAGGAGACCCAGGUUUGAUCCCGGGGUGGGGAA
rnacentral:tRNA from 1 species